rnacentral:tRNA from 1 species
GGGGAUGUGGCUCAAGUGGUAGAGCGCUCACCUAGCAUGUGUGAGGCACUGGGUUCGAUUCUCAGCACCA